rnacentral:rRNA from 1 species
GAUGAACGCUGGCGGCGUGCUUAAUACAUGCAAGUCGAGCGAACGGACGAGUAGCUUGCGUCUUUGAUGUUAGCGGCGGACGGGUGAGUAACACGGGGAUAACCUACCUAUCAUACUGGGAUAACUUCGGGAAACCGGAUCUAAUCCCGGAUGAUAUUGUGAACCGUAUGGUUCUAGAGUGAAAGACGGUCUUGCUGUCACUUAUAGAUUGAUCCGCGCUGCAUUAGCUAGUUGGUAAGGUAACGGGUUACCAAGGCAACGAUGCAUAGCCGACCUGACAGGGUGAUCGGCCGCCCUGGAGCUGAGACGCGGUCCAUACUACUACGGGAGGCCGCAGACGGGAAUCUGCGGCAAUGGGCGAGAACCUGGCGGAGCAGCGCCGCGUGAGAUAUAGCGGUCUUGGGAUCGUGAAACUCUGUUACUAGGGGAGAACAUAUGUGUAAGUAACUGUGGACAUCGUGACGGUACCUAAUCAAAAAGCCCCGGCUAACUACGUG